AAAAUGAAGCAAUGUGACCCUUAUUUUCAAUGCAAAGUUUGUAGCAUGUACAGUAUAUCUGUGUGAGCAUCUUCUCUGCAUUCGUACAAGGCUGGCAUCAUGUCAGCACAUUCACAUGAUGUAAAGUUGUUUCUGUUACAUUUGAUCAACACAAUUAGAAGCAUUUCAUACAGAUAUAACGAUUGUCUCAGUCAAUGUGUGGAGGGUUCAAUUAGCUGAGUGCUUCUACAAUCAGUCAGUAGCACAGAGGGUAUAUGAUAUGGUUAAUUAUUCUAUGUGUCUGAGGCCUCAUUUAAUUCAAUGUAUUUUCAGUGUAAUAUCAUUUGAUGAUAUUAAGAUGGGAUAUGGGGUUCAUUCCAAGGGGCAAAUUAUUUCUUUUUAUUUAGAGUGCCCAAUUACUUUACCACCGAUUUUCUCCCCUGUUUAAAAUGUCCAAUUAUUUUCCCUCAACGCAGAAAUUCCCCACAGAGCUCAGGGAACUGAAGGUCAGUGGGCGUCCUCUGAUCCCACGACCAAGCCUCUUUCCAUUUGGGGGCAGAUGUCAGCGAGUUACCGGCCUCUGGAAGACAAAGGCCAGCCUACAGGCGUCCCAUUGAGCACAACAGGUGCCUGGCCAGUAUGGUCAACUGCAGGGUAAUGGGGAGAAACAGUCCUUGCCGGUUUUGCCUCCCUAACCCAUGGGAGCACCAGAGUUAAUGCAACAUUCCCUUUGUAAUCCCCAGCAAAGACCGCUGUGCAUACCACACGGCUGUGCUUUAACCAGUUGUCAAUGAUCACACCUAUAAAGAGAUUCAAGGUGAAGAAAGACCCAAAGAUGAUGAAGACUACGAAAUAAAGAAGAAACUGUUUGAACAACAAGCGCUCAAUUCCUUGUGUUAAAAGACAAAGGGAGGUACACAAAAGGGAGCAGCUGUCUUUUUAAAAGUAAAGUGCAACAACCCAAAACUUGCCAUGCUAAUCCACAUGAGUAUCACCCUGUAUUAGGUAUGGAAUAUCAGGGAUCUACUCCUGGGUGCUUCUGAAAUUCUGAUAAAGUUUUGUGAGUGUCACCCUGUAUUAGGUAUGGAGUAUCAGGGAUCUACUCCUGGGUGCUUCUGAAAUUCUGAUGAAGUUUUGUGAGUAUCACUCCGUAUUAGGUAUGGAGUAUCAGGGAUCUACUCCUGGGUGCUUCUGAAAUUCUGGUGAAGUUUUGUGAGUAACACCCCGUAUUAGGUAUGGAGUAUCAGGGAUCUACUUCUGGGUGCUUCUGGAAUUCUGAUGAAGUUUUGUGCAUCACUUUCUUUCAGGAA